rnacentral:lncRNA from 1 species
UUUCAUUAAAUAGACGGCCAGCCGAAUGAACAGAGAAGCUAUAGAGGUUGGCAGUAAGUCUCUGAAGUAGCUCUGGUCAGACCUGACUGCACCAGAAAACUAUGUUUCUGAAAAACGCCCAGGAACCCGAGGCAUUGAGUCUGUAGAUACAGCGGCUGGCUGUCUCACUGUGGGGACUCUUGGAGCGGGAUAUAGGAAAUGAAGUGACAAGACUGUCAGCUUUGCCGUUACUCCUGGAGCCUUGUGAAGAAGUGUCUCUACCAUGAAAAUACGGUCCCUGUGUGGUGGGGUUAUCUUCAGGCCUCUUUUCCCAUUUAUAGUUUGCUGGGAAGUCAAAAGGAAAAGGAGGAAGGAGAUUCUCAAAAUCAGAGAGGAGGAGCAAGGAAAGGUCACUCUGCCUUAAAUUUGCCAGUUUUCCUGAAAAUAAUUUUUCUUUGUAUACAUAUUGCAGUUGCUUCCUCCUUCAUCUCAGGUAAACCUAUUGACCAUUGUGCCUUCUUGUGUGAUUUACAAUAACAUAAUAUUUAUGUAUACACAGAGAGCUUUUGCAAUAGAAGGUGUGCCUUGAGAACUGCAGAGUGCGUCUUCCCUGAACCUAACACCGGACCAGAGUUAAGAGUUGCUCAAUAAAUGCAUGUUGAAUUAAUUUCACUUUUUCUUUUUCUAGAGGAUCUCUAUUGCUCAGGCUGGAGUGGUGGGGUACAACCAUGGCUCACCGUGGCCUCGACUCCCAGGCUCAAGCGAUCCUCCCUCUUCAGCCUCCCAAGUAGCUGGGACCACAGGCAUGCCAACAUGCCUGGCUAAUUUUUUAAUUUUUUGUUGAGACAAAGUCUUGCUAUGUUGCCCGGGCUGGUCUUGAACUCCUGGGCUCAAGCAUUUCUCCUGCCUCGGCGUUUCAAAGUGUGAGAUGAUAGGUGUAAGUCACUAUGCUCGGCCGGAUUUGAUUUUAGACCCUGGGGAACCCAUCUUUGGACUGUUUCUCAAAGAGAGGGCAGAUAUUAUUCAGCAGAAUCCUCAUUGAGCAUUGGUCUUACUGUGAGAAUUACUGUGUUUGUGUACACCAAAGCUUGACUAUGUAAACCUGAACUAAGUGUAAGAGCCCUUCUGGUAGGAAAAAAAAAAAAUGACACUGUAUUAGAAAGACAAAAUCAGACAGCCUAACCAAACUAUGUUUUUGUCAAUAAAUGUUCAAAUUCCAUGGUCUAUUUUUAUUUUCUUACAUAGCUUUAUUUAAAAUCCUAGAUUGACUUGUUUUUUGUUGAUACUGUUCCUUUGUUAAAAUCUUGGAAAACCAUUUGUUGAGUUUUAUGACUUAGGAGCUAAAACUGAUGGGUCUCAUGACCAGUUUAUUGGUUCUUUUGGCCACCUUUAGGUCAAUUAUGUAAUGUUUUCUUCUUACUUUUGUGUGGGGGGAAAGCAAGCCACCUUUGCUUUCAUGAUUUUGUUUUUCAACGUUUGAGAUUGUUAGAGGUACGUGUGAUGAAGGUCAAUACUUAAUAAACAGUGCAUUGGUUGUUGG